rnacentral:rRNA from 1 species
GGGAGCUUGCUCCCAAAUCUUAGCGGCGGACGGGUGAGUAACACGUGGGCAACCUGCCCUGCAGACUGGGAUAACUCCGGGAAACCGGAGCUAAUACCGGGUAAUACAUAGCACCCGCAUGGUGCAAUGUUGAAAGUUGGCUUUCGAGCUAACACUGCAGGAUGGGCCCGCGGCGCAUUAGCUAGUUGGUAAGGUAAUGGCUUACCAAGGCGACGAUGCGUAGCCGACCUGAGAGGGUGAUCGGCCACACUGGGACUGAGACACGGCCCAGACUCCUACGGGAGGCAGCAGUAGGGAAUCUUCCGCAAUGGACGAAAGUCUGACGGAGCAACGCCGCGUGAGUGACGAAGGCCUUCGGGUCGUAAAGCUCUGUUGUUAGGGAAGAACAAGUACCGUUCGAAUAGGGCGGUACCUUGACGGUACCUAACCAGAAAGCCACGGCUAACUACGUGCCAGCCGCCGCGGUAAUACGGUCAUAGC